rnacentral:lncRNA from 1 species
GUUGGCAUUGGGCAGGGAUCGAAAGCUUCAUCAUAAAUUCUUACCAACACAGGGACUUUAAGCAAUGGUGAUCACAGAAGGAUGGGUCACAACAUCUACCUUUCCCAGUCACCAAGCCAAGGAACAAAAGUUGAAAAGCCACAAAAGAUUCAUCAGCCUCUAAGCAGUCAAGGAACGGAGAAUGCUACAGAGAAAGUGAAUUUAGAAUGAUUUGAUCUCCAUCUUUUCUGCUAGAUGUAGAAGAGCAGUAUGUAGGAGUCUUGGAUAAGAUAAAUCCCACUUGAUGGGAGAUGGUAGGAGAACUCUCUCUGCCAGGGGCUGACUUUUCCGGGAGAAAUCGUGUGACAUUAAAAUGUGGCACUUGAAGCCCAGCACAUGCCUG